rnacentral:tRNA from 1 species
GCUUGGGUGGCUCAGUCGGUUGGGUGCCUGACUCUUGGUUUUUGCUCAGGUUAUGAUCUCACAGUCUGUGGGUUCAAGCCCCACAUCAGGCU